AUGGCUCAGAGUGAACGCUGGCGGUAGGCCUAACACAUGCAAGUCGAACGGCAGCACAGUAAGAGCUUGCUCUUAUGGGUGGCGAGUGGCGGACGGGUGAGGAAUACAUCGGAAUCUACCUUUUCGUGGGGGAUAACGUAGGGAAACUUACGCUAAUACCGCAUACGACCUUCGGGUGAAAGCAGGGGACCUUCGGGCCUUGCGCGGAUAGAUGAGCCGAUGUCGGAUUAGCUAGUUGGCGGGGUAAAGGCCCACCAAGGCGACGAUCCGUAGCUGGUCUGAGAGGAUGAUCAGCCACACUGGAACUGAGACACGGUCCAGACUCCUACGGGAGGCAGCAGUGGGGAAUAUUGGACAAUGGGCGCAAGCCUGAUCCAGCCAUACCGCGUGGGUGAAGAAGGCCUUCGGGUUGUAAAGCCCUUUUGUUGGGAAAGAAAAGCAAUCGGCUAAUACCCGGUUGUUCUGACGGUACCCAAAGAAUAAGCACCGGCUAACUUCGUGCCAGCAGCCGCGGUAAUACGAAGGGUGCAAGCGUUACUCGGAAUUACUGGGCGUAAAGCGUGCGUAGGUGGUUGUUUAAGUCUGUUGUGAAAGCCCUGGGCUCAACCUGGGAAUUGCAGUGGAUACUGGGCGACUAGAGUGUGGUAGAGGGUAGUGGAAUUCCCGGUGUAGCAGUGAAAUGCGUAGAGAUCGGGAGGAACCAUCCAUGGCGAAGGCAGCUACCCUGGACCAAC
rnacentral:rRNA from 1 species